AGUGAACGCUGGCGGUAGGCCUAACACAUGCAAGUCGAACGGCAGCACAGGAGAGCUUGCUCCCUGGGUGGCGAGUGGCGGACGGGUAAGGAAUACAUCGGAAUCUACUCUGUCGUGGGGGAUAACGUAGGGAAACUUACGCUAAUACCGCAUACGACCUACGGGUGAAAGCAGGGGACCUUCUGGCCUUGCGCGAUUGAAUGAGCCGAUGUCGGAUUAGCUAGUUUGCGGGGUAAAGGCCCACCAAGGCGACGAUCCGUAGCUGGGCUGAGAGGAUGAUCAGCCACAAUGGAACUGAGACACGGUCCAGACUCCUACGGGAGGCAGCAGUGGGGAAUAUUGGACAAUGGGCGCAAGCCUGAUCCAGCCAUACCGCGUGGGUGAAGAAGGCAUUCGGGUUGUAAAGCCCUUUUGUUGUGAAAGAAAUCCAGCUGGCUAAUACCCGGUUGGGAUGACGGUACCCAAAGAAUAAGCACCGGCUAACUUCGUGCCAGCCGCCGCCGUAA
rnacentral:rRNA from 1 species